UACGGAGGAUGCAAGCGUUAUCCGGAAUUAUUGGGCGUAAAGCGUCCGCAGGUGGUUUAUCAAGUCUGCUGUCAAAGCGCGAGGCUUAACUUCGUAAAGGCAGUGGAAACUGAUAGACUGGAGUGCGGUAGGGGCAGAGGGAAUUCCCAGUGUAGCGGUGAAAUACGUAGAGAUUGGGAAGAACACCAGUGGCGAAGGCGGCUAUCUGGACGGUUUCUGACGCUAAGACGCGAAAGCGUGGGGAGCAAACAGG
rnacentral:rRNA from 1 species